GGCUGCGCUGCGUGAGGGGGAGAGGAGGCACUGGGCCUCUCUGAGUGGGAGGAAGCCCACCAGAGAAGAAAAUAGAGAAAACAGCCCUCGACAUUUUAUUAUCUAAUUAGAUAAAUUACUGAGAAAGGAAAAAGCCCACAGGACUAACUACUGAUUAUAAAAUCAAAACAAAAAUGCCCCUGGGCCUGAAAAUACAUAAGCUUUUAAAAUAAAAUGCAAAAGGAAUUUUAUGGGGCAAUUAAAUAAAUACAAAAAAACAAUUAAUUAUUCUGUUUUGUGAUUUAUAUUCACCCUCAAGACCAAAAUAAAACUCCACAUCAUCACAACAUCAUCUCCAGAAUAACCUCUAAACACAAGACGUUUUAAAACAGCUUUUGGGAAGAUGGAA
rnacentral:lncRNA from 1 species